CAACUUAUCAUCAUAAACCCAUACACAUGAAAUAUAUUAUCAUUUGACUCAAUUUUAUGAAUAUCGUUUAUCAAUGGAACUGAAAAAAAAGGGAAAAAUAUACAACCAGAUUUCUGAGAAAAUAAUUGGAUUUUCAAGCGCAAAUAAUGAAAAACAACUAUAUACAAGUCAUAAAAGGUCUCAAACAUCCAAGGAAGGAAUGAAGCAGCACAAGCUCUCCAGCCCGGCGAAAGGCGAAAGCUCUUAGGCGGCCACUGCGAAUGUUUUGAGAAACAAGCCUUUGGAUUAUCAUCAUAAACCCAUACACAACAAAUAUAUUUUCCUUUGACUGAAUUUUAAGAAUAUCGUUUAUCAAUUGAACUGAAAAAAAAAAAGAAGGAAAAAAUGUACAGCCAGGUUUCUGAGGAAGUGACUGGGUUUUCAAUCACAAAUAAUGAAAACAACAAUCAUAUAGAAGUCAUAAAAGGUCUCAGACAUCCAAGGAAGGACGGAAGCAGCACAAGCUCGCAAGCCCGGCGAAAGGCGAAAGCCCAAAAAUAAAAAACCUGGCAAAGUUCUCGAAAAACAGAGUCAGCGUUGGCUUCGGUCAAGGACUGCAGCAAGAACCGAACAUGGCUUGAGAGUGUGGAGGAAAGCUCGAGCAUGGUGAGUGAUGGUGAGUGAAGAUAGAUCGCGAGUGUUUUUCAAUGGUAAAUGCUAGUAAGAAGAUAAAAAGCGGAAUGGAUUAGGGAUAUGAUAGGCUUUGAAGAUUAGGGAUGUUGAGAGAACCGUCGAGAGAAAAAAAGUGAGCGCUGAACGUCU
rnacentral:lncRNA from 1 species